AUGGCCCCUAGGCCACCAGUUCAUCCCCACCGGUCCACCACAGUGCCCCGCAGCCACGAUCCGGCCUUGAUCUUCUCUGCCUCGACGGAGCAGCCGUCGCCGGCCUCCAGGAACGGCUGCUCUGCAUCGUCCUCGCGCGCCUCCUUCCUCGAGCAAGAGCUCGACCUGCUGCCGGCGACCUCGUGCCCGACCUCCAGAUCCCCCCUCCGUCCCGCGAGCAGCAGUAGACCGUGGCGCCACCACCGGAGCUCGCCGCUGCCGGGAAUCGCCGUCUUUCGCCGGAGUUUGCGUCCUCGUCCUGGAUCCGCGCUGUCGCCUCCUACCUGUGCGUCGUGCGCGGGAACCGACAAGACUCCGGCGCCAUGGCCUUCCCCACCUCUGCCCGAGCGCCUCCAGGACCUCGUCUGCCCCGCCGCAUCACCAAAUCCGGCCACCAGGACCCUCCAGCGCCGUCGCUUCCUUCCUCCUGUUGCUCGAUCCCCUGUUUCGCGAACGAGGAGACGAGCGCCUCGCCUGCGCGUUGACCGCGUCCCCUCCCUUGUUCGAUCCAGCAGCGCGCCUCCAGAUCCGCUCCAAGGCCCAGCCAGCCUCCUCCAGGCCCCGCGGUCCAGCGGCCUCCAGGCCCAGCGAGCACCUCGCCGGUUCGCUCCCGUUGACGAGCGCGUGGGCCAGCGCCCCUGGCCCAUCUUCCCCCGCGGCCUGCCAGGCCUCCUCCACCGACCUGGGCCGAGCCCAUGGGUGAGAACCCCCCCAAGCGCCCCUGUCCUGUGCAGCCCGGUAGACUAG
rnacentral:rRNA from 1 species